rnacentral:lncRNA from 1 species
AAAACCUUCCCAUGGCUUCAAUUGUUAAUCAUGAGAAUGAGAACAAGAAUGUCAAGUCCCUUCAUGUUGUAAUGGUACCAUGGCUAGCUAUGGGACACAUACUACCUUUUUUCGAGUUAGCCAAAAUUCUUGCUCAAAAUGGUCACACUGUCACAUUCAUAAACUCCCCUAAAAACAUUGAUCAAAUGCCCAAAACACCCAAAACACUUCAACCAUUCAUCAAGUUGGUAAAAUCACCUUUACCAUACAUAGAAGAACUACAAGGUGCAGAAAGCACUCAAAAUGUUCCGUUAAACCUAACUGGUUACCUUAAGUUAGCUUAUGAUGGUUUCCAAGACCGUGUUACUGAGAUAUUCAAAACUUCGAAGCCUGAUUGGGUUUUCUGUGAUUUAGUAUCGGAUUGGUUACCAUCGAUAGCCAAGAGUUUCAACAUUCCUUGUGCGUAUUACAGCAUAGGCGCAGCUCGGAACUUGGUUUUCUUUAAUCCACCAGGGGAACGAACCGACAUAGACUUGUAUAGUCCACCAAAAUGGGUUCCUUUCCAAACAACCAUUCAUCUCAAACGUUACGAGGUUAUGAGAAUACAGUCAGCUGUGAAGAAUGAUUAUGGAAGAAAAUUUAGUCGUUCUGAUGCCGACAAACUAUACGCAAGUGUUGACCUUUUUCUUUUCAGAACCUCUAGAGAACUUGAAGGUGAAUGGUUAGAUUAUAUUUCUGACCAAUACAAGGUUCCUGUGGUUCCGGUCGGAUUGCUUCCACCACCUAUGCAGAUAAGAGAUGACGAAGAAGAUGAAAAGAAUCCUGAAUGGGUGAAAAUCAAGGCAUGGUUGGAUUCAAAAGAAUCAUCUUCUAUUGUUUACAUUGGAUUUGGGAGCGAGUCGAAGUUAAGUCAACAAGAUAUAACUGAGUUAGCUCAUGGAAUUGAGCUUUCUAGGUUACCGUUCUUUUGGGCUUUAAAAGAUCUUAAAGAGGGUGUACUUGAAUUGCCUAAAGGGUUCGAGGAAAGAACAAAAGAACGCGGAAUUGUUUGGAAAACUUGGGUACCCCAGUUUAAGAUCUUAACUCAUGGAUCAAUUGGUGGUUGUAUGACUCAUUGUGGUCCAAGUUCAGUCUUUGAAAUGCUUUAUCUUGGGCAUGUUCUUGUGACAUUGCCUUAUUUACUUGACCAAUGUUUGUUUGCAAGAGUACUAGAAGAAAAGAAAGUGGCUGUUGAGGUACCAAGGAGUGAGCCAGAUGGGGCCAUUAAUAGGGACUGUGUUGCUAAAACAUUGAGGUUGGUAAUAGUGGAUGAGGAAGGAAGUAUUUACAGGAACAAUGCCAAAGAAAUGGGAAAGGUUGUGAGUUCAAAAGAUCUUCACAAUGAAUACAUUAAAAACUUCAUUGCCACUCUUCAAAAGUUUAGAGUUCAUUCCGACAAUUAAGCAUAUUUCAUAUACUCCCUUCGGUCAUUAUUAUAAACAAAACUUCACUUUUCAGAUACAUUGAAUAAUUCAUGUAUCUAGUCUUUAUUAUAGACCGGACAGAUUGAUUAUUCAAUGUAUCUAAAAAGUAAAGUUUUAUUUAUAAUAGUGAUGAGAGGGAGUAUAGGUUUCCCUUUCAACUGUUUUUUAUUUUAUUUAUUUUAUUUUUAUCUUAUUGCAAUAAUAAUCAUGUGAUGUUGAUGCCAGUGAUUCAUUGACAAGAGUUUGCCUUUGUAAUUUCAUGUGAUAAAGUUCAAAUAUAUUCUUGUUACAUGUCUCUUUCCCAUUGUUAUUAAAAGUCCAAGAGAUAAAUACUAAAUUAUUCAUUUCAGUUCAAAUGAAGUUUAUGUAUUUGGUUCAAAUUUUAGACCAAUUAACACAUCAAGUAAUAAUGGAAUAAGCUGGACUUAUGGAAUAACUAAUAUAAUUCUUUCACUAGUAUCCCAUAUAAUUCUUUGUGGAUACAAUACUACUACCUAGAGCCAUGGAUAAAUAUAAUUCUUUGUGGAUACAAUACUACUACCUAGAGCCAUAGAUUAAUGGCUCUCAAAGAAGAGAAAAGAAAGUAAGAGGAAUGAUUGUUAAUGGAAUGAUAGUGGUAUAAAGUAAGUGGAAAGUGAGUUGAUUUUUUUGGUUGUUUGGUAAGAGUGAAAGUGAAUGGAUUGUGAGAGGAAAGAAAAGUAUAUAUUUAUUGAAUUUUGGUAGGAGUGAAAGAGAAUGGAUUGUGAGAGGAAAGAAAGAUAUAUAUUUAUUGAAUGACAUAAUUGCCCUUACGUAACAUAAAUAUAAAUGUUUUUAUUUAAAAACAUAUUUUUUUGACAAGAUAAGACAUACAUUUAUAUUUUAUAAAUAUUUGUAUUUAGAAAAAUAUUAGUUAUAUGAGAAGCAUUCAUAUGUGUUUAACCGUAAAAAACACGUUAGUUUAUAUUUUAGAAGAAAGAAAAAAUUUAUAAAAAAAGAAAUAAAGCAUGAUAGGAAGCAAGGACAAAAAAAGAAAUACAAAAAAAUUGAUGGUAUAGUGAACUUUCUCUCCACUAGUGGGAGGAAAGUUUUCUGCGUGGGUCCCAUGUAUGAACUAAUCUUUCCAUUCACUCUUUCAUUGCAUCCAAAGGAUGGAAAGAUUAUUGGAACUUGUGCUUCCCUUCCUUCACAUAUCUUUCCUUUCACUAUCUUUGAAUUGUUUCUAAGGAAAGAUAGUGGAGAGGAGAGAAAGAUGAGGGAAAGAAGCACUUUCUAUUGAUUGAGACUCACUAAAAAGGCUAAGGAAAAAAAGAAUUCGAUGAGACCCACACUAAAAAACUUUCCACACCAAUUUGGACAGAAAGGUUUGGGAAACAACAACUUUUGUUUGAAAAGUCUAAAACACCCCUAUUUUUAUUGUUUUUUAUUUAUAUUAUUACUCUUUUUUUUUUUUCUCUCUUUAUAUUUCAAUUUGUUGUUCCAUUUGUUUUUCCUAUCCUAAUCCUAAUGAUGUACAAUUGACUCCUGCCAUACUUUCUUUUUCCAUGAAAAUAUAGACACGUGAUUUAUAUAUUUUUAUUUUUGAAAAGGUUAAAACUAAAGGACAAAAUAGUAAUUUGCAUUUAAAUGUUAUUAAAUUUCCUAGUUUUGAGUGUCUUUUUUUAUCUUCCCUAGUUUUCUUUGCUGAUUGUUUUACGUCACUGUUUUUCCACCCUCUUGUUCACAGUAGGGGUGGACAGUCGGUCGGUUAUGUUCGAAAUCGGUUUCAAAACUUGAAACCGUUUAAACCAACGGUUGCAUAUUCGUAAACCAUUUUCGACCAACAUAGGCAUCAGUUUAGUCGGUUCAGUGUAAACGAUUAAGCUGGUCAAAUGUGCGGCUUAGUUCGGUUAAUUCGAUUUUGUAUAUAUCAAUCCCUGCUCCAUAUAUUUUAAAAAUUUAACAUAACCAAAUUAUAAGCUGAAAUUUGGGUUUUCAAUAAAACCAAGAAUAAUAAUUUGGCUAUUCAUAUUAAUCUUUAUGGCCUGUCAGUUUUCAGUUUAAAUAAAAAUCAAGAGCAAUUUUUAUGCCAUAAUAUAUUAUUACAUAGAACUUGUUAGCACCAACAACAUUUGUAAACUUGUUCCAAAUAUAAAUUAUACUAACUUGUUUGCAUUGACUAACAGCAAACUUGCACAACACAGCCAAUAUUAGUAAAUAUUACAGUUGUCCAACAGUAUCAACAUUAUAAGUAUUAUAAUAUAUUACAGUCAUCCAAUAUUUGAGUAAAAUAUGAAAUAAAUUCCACUGGCUUUAAAAGCACAGACUGCUUGCAAUUGUUGAUGCUACAACAUGGCGAAUCAUGGAGAAUAAUGUUGUAGUUGAUGCUGCACAACAAAGAAAUGAAUAUAACUGUUCAAAAAAAAAAAAACCUAAACAACAAUAUGUUGAAUGUUAUAAAUUUACAAAUAUGAAUGAAUGAUAUUUGAAAACAAACCUAAACUGCAGCCCUAGAAGUCUAUAACAGCCAGAAUCCCACUUAUUAAAUUGCAGCAACCAUUUAUGAUAAACUAUAAAUUAAAACUAGUUAGUAAAUCAUAAUAAUUUUACUAGAUUAAAGAAAUUUCAUUAUAACAAAGAAAGCAAGUUUUAUUAGAUUACUUGCAAAGAGACAUACCAUAGAUAAUACUUCAUAACUCUUCAUUCUCUACUUCUCUAAUGGCAUGGGCAUAGGUUGAUAGCUUCUCAACUUAAUCCUAAUAAGAACCAAAUUGAUGAAAUCUCAACUCAAAAGAACAAAAAUUAACUAGUAUAACAAUUACAGCAAUUGUUUGUUGAAACAAUUACAUAAACUAACUUAUAGUUUACUAUUAUGUUCUUAAUGUUAAUCAUACAGUUGCUUUUAUUAAUUAAUUUUUAACUUGAUUGUACUGUCUUAAGAAUAUAUACAAUCAGGUCCACAAGCAGAUUUUGUAAGAAUUGAUAAUAAUAUAAACAAGUAGCUCAGUUCCACAUACAGUUGCUUACCAAUAAUUAAGCAUUAAUCAGUUUAACAAGCGGUUGAAACAGUUCCAUCAACAUCAAACCAUGUCCACACUCCACAAUCAUAAUGGAGCCAAGAAAAUGAAGCAUGUUACAUUUCAUAUCAUUCAAAAGCAGAUGUAUGUGUUGUGCAUUAGUAUUGAGUCAUAUUUGACUCCAAAAUAUCAAAAAAAGUCAUUCUUGCAUGACAUUAAAUUACUCUUAAUUAGUAUUACAUAAAUCAAAUACUCUAAGUAUGAUAAAGUAAGAAUAGUUAAUAAACAGUAUACCAUUUAGUGGAAUUAAACAGAAGGCCUAGUUGCUGGUGGUGAAACACCAGCAAGACCAACUCCAGAACCACUUAACACUUGUCCAAUUUCUACAAUGCAUUCAAAGCAAUAAAAGAGAAUAAAUUAAUUUGUUACUCAAUAUCAAAUACACAAUAAAUUCAUAGACACGCUACUAAGUUACCUUCAACGACAUUCUCUAAAAGCUGAUACUCUUCACUCAAAUUAAGAUCUUUGAAGUCAAUGAAAAAAGGUUUUAGUCAAUUUUGACAACAUAUCAAAGCUUCAGCCAUUGUCGGACUCAAGGAACUCCUAUAUGUGUCUAAAACUCUUCCUCCAGUGCUAAAUGCGCUUUCAGAAGCAACAGUUGACACCGAUGUGGCCAAACAAUCUGUAACCAUUGCUGCCAAAACUGGAUAUCAUACUUCAUUUUUCUUCCACCACACAAGAAUGUUAAACUUCUCAUCAUCGUUGUAACGCCCCAAUUUUAUAUUAUUGGUCGAUUUAAAGUCUUUAUAUAUAUAUAUAUAUAUAUAUAUAUAUAUAUAUAUAUGAUUUUAUAUUAUUAUGUGGUGUGUUAUAUUUUAUUAAAUAAGUUAUGUUACUAUUUAAUAGAAUAAGUGGGAAUUUAGAAUAAUUGGAGUUUUGGGGGUUAUAUUUUAAUUAAAGGAAUUAAGUAGGAGUUAAGUGUUAUAAUUGGGGGAAGUUGGAAACUGUCAGUCAGAAGCAUUUUUCACGUGGAAGCAGUUUUUGGGAGAAAAACCAAGAGGGAGCCAAGAGUAUCCAAGAGAAGAUCGUAUAGAGCUUUGUUCACCAAUCUAAGGUAAGGGUGAGGUUUACUUUCAAUAGUAUAGAUUGUAAUUCUGAUUUUGAUUUAACAUGUUUCUGGUAGAAAUUGGGAAAUUUGGGAUUAAGUUUUGAUUAUUGAUUUUUGAAUGAAAAAGUGUAGAAACCAUAUAAUUGAAUGGUGUAAAGAGUGGUUAAUCAGGUAGGUUAGUGAUGGGUUAACGUUUUAAUGAUAGGGUAAUCAUAUGGUGAUGAUUAUGGAUGAUUUUGGAGAGUUUAGGGUUAAGAAAUGGAGCCAAGGAGGUUCCCAUGGUAGAAAAUCGCAGAAAAUCUGUAAAUUUCAGUAUGUUUGAUGCAUACCCUGUUUCAAGUUCUUGCGUCUUUUUCACACGUUUCUGUUUUGACUUGACCUUUGGUGUAAACAUGAAAGUUGUAGAUAAUUUUGUUAGCUUUCCGAUGGCUUUGGUUUGAUUUGAAAAUGAUUUUUAAUUUUUGAGAUAUGAUGAAAAUACUCCAAGGAGAUCUUAAUGAAAGUUUAUUAAAAUGUUGUUGAUGUUCAGUGAGUCUGAUAAAAGAUGGUUGAGGUUGUUAAUGUUAUGGUAAAUUUUCCAAUGCAUUAUGUGGAUUAUGUAUGAUGUUUAAGUAGUGUUGAUUAUCAUUUGGUAUUGUCAUAUUUUGGGAUGUCUAUGUGCUACUAGUGUUGCUGUUGGAUCUUAAUUAAGAUGUGAAUGUUGGUUUAAAUUGUAAGCGUGCUGGGUUGUACGUUGCCGAAUGAGUCAUAAGUAAGUUAUGCAAAUUGUCGAUGUUGUUAUCAUCGUUGGUGUUGUUGUUGAAGUAGUAGUUGUAUCCGUUGUUGGUGAUUGAUCAUGUUAGAUGUUUUAUAAGAGGUGAUGUACUCUUACGUGUCGUCUUUAUAAGAGGUGGUGUACUCUUACGUGUCGUUUUUAUAAGAGGUGGUGUACUCUUACUUUAUCGUUCUUCUUAGAGGUGGUGUACUCUUACUUUGUUGUUGUCCAUAAGAGGUGGUGUACUCUUACGUUGUUUAUGUUGAUGAGUAUGAUGAGGGUAUGAUGUUACCUAUGAGUUGUUAAAUGUACUCGAGGAGGGUUAUGUUAAGUUGUCUUCUAUUCAUGAGCAUUAAGGGGAUGUUAAGAAGAAUUAUUAUUGAGUGCAUACGGUGUUGUCAUGUCAUUUGCAUGAGUCGGUGUUGUUUGUUGUAAAUGCCAUAUUGAUGAUGAUGAUGUUGUUUGAUGGAGUAUAUAUUUAUACACAUAUAAUGAUGAUUUGAUUGAUGAAGACUUGAUUUGAUGAUGAUGUGUUUUAUGAAGUAUAUAUUUAUAUAUAUAUAUAUGGUGAUGAUCUGAUUAUAUUUAGGGUGUUAGAUUCAAUUGAUGAAUUUUAAUAUCUAUAUUUUAUUGUUGUGAAUCUCACCCCUUCUGCUUGAAAAUGUUGCCCUUCCUAUGGGUAACUUGCAGGUGAUCCUGAGUAGUUGGUGGUGGCUCAAGUGUCGUGUCUAGGGCUCUAAUACGUAGGGAUGAGAUUUUCGUAUUGUUUUUUAUUCCUAUGUAUCAAUUUUUGAAUAUUGCUGACGUAGCCCUAUGGUUGUUGAAUUUAUGUUGAUAAGGCUUUUAUGCCAAGAUUUAAUUAUGGAGAUUUAAACUGUUGCUGUUGUUGUUUUGAUGCAAAUUUUCCGCUGCAAAAUUAAUGAUGAUUUUGAAGGAUUUUUAUUAAAUAGAUUUUAUAUUCUAUUUAAGAAAUUUUGAAAAUGUAGUGUGACAUGCCCGUUUGGGAAUUACUCUGAUGCAUGUUUAUUUAUUAAUUAAUUGAUUUUGGGAAACGGGGUGUUACAAUCGUUUUCAGGUGGGUCACUUAAGUACCUCUCAAGGUCAUUUUGUUGAACAAUGGUUUCCUUUGUUUUCAAAUGUUGUUUAAAUGCAUCUGCCCUUGCACCAAGUGAUGGAUUUUUGGGAAGGGCAAGUUGUUCAACUAGUGAAUUGUUGCUACUAGAUGGCACUUCAGAUUUGUACAAAUUGUACAAUUUGAAUAAGUUAUCUUUCACACUUCCGACCCUUUCUUUUGCCAACUCACUACCAACCCAUACAAAUCACCAAAUGACCACUCAAUAUAUUCAAAUUUGUACCUAGGGUCAAAUUAGACUCCAAAAUAAAGCAAUUGGUUCAUUUUCACAACAUUCCCCCAAUACUUAUCAUACUUUUCCUUCAUAUAUACUCCCAUUGAAGCCACAACAAUAUUCAAGUUCAUUGCUUCCUUUUGAAGCUCACACAAUAUUGAAGCUAGGUUGUGAAAUGUGGUAUCCAAAGACACUUGUUGAGAGGAUGAAAAUAUCAUUGUAGCAUCAUAGAAAUUUUGUAAAAAACUAACAAAAGCUCUAACCUUUUCCCAAUCACUAGAACUACCUGGGCCAGUUUUACCAAACCACUCCUUAUACCCAACAUCCUCCCCCUCUAACUUCUCAAAAGCUUCUUGAAAAUUUACGGCGGCAUCCAACAUCAAAUAUAAUGAAUUCCACCUAGUGGGAACAUCAAGACAAAGGUGCUUUUUGCAUGCUAUCCUUGACAUUUCUAUGCAUUCUUUGAAUUUUGAUGCUCUUUGUGGUGAAGAUCUAACAAACCUAACAGCAUUGCGGAUGCUAAAAAUAGACAAAUCUUGAUCCUUUAAGCCGUCCAGUACUACCAAGUUCAAUAUGUGUGCUACACACCUCAUAUGCAAGUGACCCCCUUCACCCAUUAGCCCAUUCAUGUUCUUAAGUCUUCUCUUUAAAUAAGAGACAACCACAUCAUUCGCAGAAGUAUUGUCAACGGUUAUUGUAGACACGUUUCUAAUCCCCCACUCCUUUAAAACCUCCUCAACUUGCUUACCAAUGGUUUCUCCUUUGUGAUUUGGUAUUUGGGCGAAACUAAUUAUUCUUUUUUUAUUUUUCCAACUAUUGUCAACAAAGUGUGUGGUGAUGGCCAUGUAACCAAGGUUUUGAAUGGACGUCCAACAGUCCAUGGUUAAGGUUACCCUUCUACAAUCAGAUUUGAAAAAUGCCUUCAGUUUUAAUUUUUCAUUGACAUAAAUGUCGAAACAAUCGCGAGCAACUGUUCUCCUUGAAGGAGGGGUCAUUAGUGGUUGUAAUUUUUUACAUAAUUGCUUGAACCCCUCACCUUCUACAACUCUAAAAGCAUGUUCGUCAAGGAUAACAAAGUUGGUUACGGCAUCCCUACAGUCUUUUGCAUUGUACCUUUGGCUAGCUGAAACUAGAAAACCACCCUUCCCAUUUAUAAGAUUUGUUUGCCUAGGUACAUUUAGCAUGUUCUCUGGUUUCUUAAGGCAGACUCUAAAGCGUGUUAACAUGUUGGACGUCCCAUUUAAUUUAGAAUCACAAUGGCAUCUUUUAUGGCAGUGUUUACAAGCGGCUGUAGGUUCUGGUUUAUUGGGUAAUGGAUUAAAAUCAAGCCAAACGGGAGAGGUUCUCCUAUUACCAUUGGCAUUAGGUCUCCUACACCUAGUAGUGGGUAAGGGGGGGAGCUCAGCAGCUGCUUGUGGAGUAAAAUUUUCGGUUUGAUUUGCACCCUCGUAAAAUUAUUUUUCCGGAAAACAUCCCUAAUAGGCCAUUUUCAGAAUUUUUUUUCAAGAAAUUUUGGUUUUUGAAUGACCUAUUAAGGGUGUUUUCCGGAAAGAAAAAAAAAUUACGAGGGUGCAAAUCAAAUAGAAAAUUUUAUAGGGGCGAAAACCGGAAAUGACAUAUAUUACAGGGGUGAAAAACACUAUUAACCCUAUAAAAUAUUAAGUGUUUCAAUAAUUAUAAAGUAUUAAGCCUUAAAUAAAAGCAUCUUCAAUUGCCAAUCAAUAAUUAACCAAAAAUAUAUUUAAACUAGAAAAAAUAUACCAUGAUAAAACUAAGAAAAAAAUAAACAAUAACAAACCUCUAACGUAAAAAAAUAUUUAGCAGAAGUUUGAAAUUGGAAUGAGCGUUAUGCUAGCAGACUUUGACAUGUAAUCUUUUGUCAUUUAUAAUCUUUGACAUGUACAUAAUUAGUGUGUUUGGGAAAGACUUGUGUUUGCAUAAAAAAACAAGGGGGAAAGAUCUGUGUGAAGUCUAAAAAAACUGCAUCAAAUCAUUUGUUUUAAUCAUGCAUUCCUGCUAAGAAUAGUUAAAAGAAUACAUAUAUACUUUACAUGGAUAAGGCAGCAACAAACACGUCAACAAUAUUUUCUAAAAAUCAUUAGACUUACGGUUAGCUUCGGCUUUAAUCACCCCCUCCAUAGGGGCAACUCCAGUUGCGCCCUCCGUAGAUCCAACUCCAACUGCGCCCUCCGUAGCUCCAACUCCAACUCCAACUGCGCGCUCCGUAGCUGCAACUUCAGUUUCCUCGUCCAUGACUGAUUUUAAGAGAGAAAAAUUUUGAUCAAAACAAAAAUAUGCAUAAUGAUAUUCCUUACACAUAUUAAGCAAUAUUGAAAGAUAUAAAAAAAAAAAAAAAAAGGAAAUAGAAGUAUUACUCAAAAUAAAAAUAUACAAGCUAGUAUUACAAAAUAAAAAUAAAAGUAUUACUCAAUAAAAAUAAACUGAUACAUAAAUUAUAAACAGAAACAUACAUAAACAGAAACAAGUGAAAUAAAAACAAAAAAAAUUAGUAAAAGAAAAUAUAUUUAACAUUCAGAGUAAAUGAACAUUAACAACAUAGUCAGAAAUAAAUCCUCACCGUCGAUCUUUAGCCAAAAUCCUUGAAAAAAUCCUAAACCAGAAAGAAACUGUUAUUAGCAACAAAAACACGAGUUGAAUAUAAACCCUUUAACUUCAGUGAGCUAAGAAACAUGACAAACCUUUCAAAUUUCUACAAAGAAACAGUUGAAAGUUGGUUUUGGACGAAUUGGGUUUUGUUUAGUGAAUUUUAAUGGAUGAUUUCUGAAAAUGUUUAUGGGUUAGGGAUGGGUUACGGAAAUGGAUGAGGGUUAGCGAUGAUCUGGAUUCAUGAUCUCAGGAAAUGGAUGAGGGUUAGGGAUGAUCUGGAUGAUGGAAAAUUGAGAAUGUGUUAGGCUUCGUUUGGGAAUAGAAGAGCAGCGGCGCAAAUAAGAUGGGAGUGAAAUUUUAGGGUUUUCUCCAUUGUGAACAAUAUUUAUAUGUAGGCCUUUGCUGAAAAUGGGCUUACCAAUUUGGGCUGGACCAUGCAGGGAACCACAAGUAGAAUAAUAACUAGUAUGCACCGGUCGGUUACGGUUUUCGGCGGGUUGGAAAUUGUAACCCGUAACCGACCACUCUUAGCCACAACAACCCAUUUCAAAUGGACCGUGUGAACCACUUAACCGAACAAACCGAACCGGACCGGUUCAGCCGGUUUGGUCCGGUUUUCCAUAUUCUGUCCAGCCCUAGUUCACAGUUCCUUAAUUAUCUUUAGAGGCGGAGCUGCUAUGGGCCAAGGUGGGCCAUGGCUACCCCAAACCUAAAAAAAAUAAAUUUAAUAGGUAUUUACAAAUAUUAGAAUAUGAAUUUAUAUUAUAUACAUAAUCUGUUGCGAGUAUAUAAGCGUGUUCCAGUGGUUUAGGCUAGGUGUUUUGUACUUGCUUGUUUACAGUUUGAUUCCUACCAGCCUUCGAUUCUUUUUAAUUUCUUAUCCUUUAUUUUUUUUUUAAGAUUUACUACAAAAAAAUAUACUGCUGGAGUUUGAACUGGUUCACAAGAACUUGAAACAAUUAGUUCUUUACCAUUUGGACAACAACUUCCUAUAUAAAAAGAUAAUUUGAUUUUGAUUAUUAUAUAUACAAUUCUAUAUCGCUCACCAAUAAAAAAAUCAAAAUUAUUUUUCAAUUAUAUGUGUAAUAAAGUAUAAAUUAUAUGAUAUUUAUGUUAAAAUAUUCAUAAAAUUUCGGCUUGAAUUAUGUUCUAUAGAAUGAAAAAAAAUUAAUCGUUCUUCAAAUUAAUUAAUAAAGAACAUAAAUUUACACCUCCCAUAAAAAAAAUAUAAAUUUACACUUGUUAAGAAAAUCGGCCCACCCUCAAAACUAUUUCUAGCUCCGCCAUUGAUUAUUUUGUUUGUGUUAAUCUUUCAAAUUCCUCAAAUCAUAUUCACCAGCUACUUGUAAAAACACUCUCCAUUUUUAAUUCAAAUGUCAAUGACUCAAAAGUUUAAACCUGACCAAUAUAAAAAAAUAAGCUAAACAAAUCAAUCUCAAACUUAAUUAUAUAUAGCAAAGACCCAUUAUGGGUCUGUUACACAACUUCGAUGGUCUACGCCAUGAUUAAACCUUCAACAAACAUAACUGCAUCCACUUAUGAACCCCAACCACUUUCUCAAUACUCGGUGGAAGAUUAAAUAUGGAAAAUCGAUUUCAUAGGACAAACAGAAAAGAGAAAUAGUUACAUAUGCAUGCAGGACGUAUUAUUUGAAGUAAUGGAAUGAGAAAAAAUGCUGGGAUUUUUUCUGAACAUAGCAUCGUGAAAGAGAAUAGUGACAAAACAAAAUUACUACCGAGAACCAUGGGCGUGGGAAUGGAGACCAAAAAGACACGCAAAACUAGGAAAAUUAAAAUAUAAAACAAUAUUGGAACAUAAAUUACUAUUUUGUCCCUCAAUUUUUUCUUUUUCAAAAAAACAUGAAAUGGGUAUAUUUGUCCAAAGCAAAAGGUGCAGGUUGCUAAAAUGGAUCUUCAUAAAAAAAGGGUUAUUAAUCUAUAAUCUAUAACUAUUAAUAAAGGGAAAACAUUGUUUUGGUGUAGCCUUUUUUUUUACCUAUUUUACCCCUCAUUUAUUACAAAUAUUCCAAAAAAGCAAAACUGUUGAAAGUGGGAGUCAGAUACUAUAUGUAACUACUCUAGCUGCUCUUCCAUAUUACUCCCUCCGUCCUAAAUUGUAUGAUGUUUUGGUCAUUUCACACGUAUUAAGAAAUGUAAUUAAUAUUGUGGGGGAAGAGAAAUUAUGAGUUGUUUUACAAAAUUAUCCUUAAUAAAUGAUAUGGAAAAAAUAAAUGAAAUAAUUGAAAGAAGAGAAAGUAAUUAAUAGUUAAGGAUAUAAUAGGAAAAGUAACAUUAAUAUUUCAUUGGUAUUGUAAAGCGAUAUAUAAUUUAGGACAAUUUUUUUUUCCAAAGCGACAUACAAUUUGGAACCGAGGGAGUACCUUUUACUACUCAUCCCAUGUUCAUCACCGGUACAAUAAAAGAGAUUGCAUCAAAAUCAAAUGCCAUAAACUAAACAAGAAAAGAGAUUGUUACAAUGCACACAUCGGCCAUCGGAAAUAACUUCCAGGUUUCAUAUCCUGCAUGUUCUCUUAUUAAUUAUAUCCUAUGCAACUUCUUUAAAUUUUAUGUCAAGAAAAAAAAAAUACAACAAUAGAUAACGGGAUACUAUCAUUUAGCCUGUACGCAAUGAAUUAUUAUUUAUUUUUUUUACAAAAACCACCAUUAAAAGAGAUGAACAAAAACCUAAAAAAAGACGAAGAAUAAGAAGAGAAGAACAACUUCUCCAUACCUUCUAAUCCCAUCUUAGUUGGUCUAAUCGGCAAGUAAAAAAAAUUGAGAGGAAGAAAAAAGAGGAGGAGAAAUGGUUUAAGAAGUAUGAUAUGGAAAAGUUAAGGAAAUUAAUUUAAAAUUAUAGGAUAUGCGUGAAUUGGUUUAACCUUUUUUUGAUUGUGGGUUGCUCCUUUUAAUCAUUAGACCAGAUAAAAAGAAACAAUAUUACUUGCAUGUAGUUUGCUUUUCAAAUUCCAAUUUUCAAUUACAUAGCAAAAUAAAAUGUAGACAGACUUAACAAAACUAAUUUGAUCGAUAUUUGAGUUCUCUAAGAGCAGAGGAUGAGACAUAUGCAGAAGUGGAAAAGGUAAGGAGAAGAGCGAACGACUUCUGGACCGUAAGGGAGAGGGCAAGACAUGGAUAUGGCACGGAGACACCGAUAGUUCCUGAGCCUGCGACCGACGACAAUAUCAAGGGUGACAUUUUCUUCUUACUUGAUAUUUUGUAAUUUUGUAUGGUUGUUUUCUUUACGUUUGAUAGGUUCUUUGCAAAUGAUUUUAAAGUAAAUGUUGGAGUCACGUUGCGGUUUGCAAGGGAGUACCAAUUUAUAUUGGGGGUUGAUUAUUCAUUACUUGCUUCUUCAUUUUUUUUCUUCAGGAUAAUGGAAAUUUUCACUUUGGAACAUUUGUUGUUGCAUUGUGAAAUUGGUAAUAUACAAGCCACUAUGAAAGGGAGGUUGAAAUUGUGGAUCUCUUAUGAAUUUUCUUCAAAUUCCAAUUACCAAUACACAAUUGAUACAAACAAUUGAACGAUUUAUCUUUUUCAUUUUCUAGAAUUUUGAUAUGGCUUAUCGGUUUGAAAUUUCAAUUUGUUCAUGGAGACAAAUGAUAGAUGUAGUUGUGUCUUUCGAUUCGAUGCAGCGAAUCCAUCUCACACUUUCAUUUUGCUAUUGCUAUUUUUUAAUUAAAAGGGUUUUCAAUUUGCUAUUAUUGAUGUAGAGUUUUUUUUUAUACCCAUGAAGAAUUCAUGGUACAAUGAUGGUAAGUAAACAUUUACACAAGUUACGUUUUCCCUUAAGGGUUGUUAAAGUAGAUGAUAUUUACAUUAGGGGUCAUGAGUUUAACAUUUUUAGUUUGUAUGCAUUUUUUUGGCAACAAAUGAAUGUCAUCUGGGAACAUGGAAAGGGGACCGAAACUGGCAGUGCAUAAUCUAUUGAUUGACUUACAUAACUAAAUUUUUUUAUUUACAUAUAAUUGUUUCUAUCAAGUUAAAUUACUAAUGCUGAUUUAAAUUUAUUUUACUUUAAAAUGUUGUUGAUCAUUUUGGAUUAAAGGCCAAGUGAAGUUGAUUUAACAAUAUAAGUUGAGAGAACUGCUUCUUCUAAUUUAAUUACAUGGAAUUAAUUAGUAUCAUGCAAAGUUUAUACGGUUAGACAUGUUAUCAUACAAGACUAUACUAUUAUUGUUAUGCCUGAAGUGAUGAUCAUAAAAUCUUAUCUCCAUUUACUUACAAAACAUAUGUUUUUUUAUAGUCUUGCAUCAUAUAAUAAAAAAAAAUCCAAACUGAACAUAGAACUGAAUAAUUGUAUUAUUCUUGAACUCAAACUUAAUUAAAAUAAAAUGUUUUUAUAUAAUGGCUUGAGAAAUAAUAUAGAGCAUAUGUGUAUUGAUAUCUGUAAAUUGUGUUAGUGAUGUGAAAUAUUUAAUAUCUUCAUCAAAUCCAUCCCCAUAAAUUUCACUAAUGUUUCAAGCGAUGAAUCACAAAACCAAGUAUAUAUUAAGUAACUUCAUGUUAAAAGAAGUGCAUGUAUUACCUAUCUUACAUUUUUUAUCAAGUUCGAUCCUUCUUUUUUUAUCAAUCUCGAUCUUUCUUUUAUUUGUGUUAAUUUUGUUCAAGGUGAUGAUUUGAUAAGAAGAGGGACACGUUGCAAAAGAGACAACAAAGGACGGCACCAAAUCCAUUUGACUUCAUCUGUGUCUUACCCUUAAUUUUUUUUUAUCUUUCUUUUUUUGAUCAAUUUCUAUUUAUACAACAAGAAUAAGUUUCAUUGAGUUGAGUCUUAUACAUUACAAACUUUUUUCUCCCUCUCUUAUCUCUUUCUUUAUUUUCUCACGUAUCAAAAACUUCUCCCACUUAUCAGACAUAUCAUAUCCUUCACGCAAACUCAUUGACCAUCUAUUAGUUUAAUAUUAGCUCAACAAUUAACUUCAAAGUCUUCACUUACCUUAGAACUAUAGCACAUUCACUAUGGGAAGAGCACCUUGGAUGACUUUUCUCACCUUGAGAUUUAAUGAAUGCCACAAAAUUUAAUGAAUGCGUGUCUCACCUUGAGUGUACCUUUAAACUUUUUUACCUAGCGUCCAGACGGGCACGAGAGAUAUAUAAAUACAUUAGCACAGUAGAAAGAGCGAACAUACGGGCACGAGAGUGUCCGUCUAGUCACUAGGUGAGAAACACAUUCAUUAAAAUUUGUGUACCUUUAAAUUUAAUGACUUUUAGGUGAGUGUACGUACCUUUAAAUUUAAUGACUUUUCUUACCUUUAAAUUUUAUGAAUGUCACAAAAAUUUAAUGAAUGCGUUAUAUGCAAAUAAAUGAGUGUACCUUCUUGGAUGACUUUUCUCACCUUGAGAUUUAAGGUAAAGAGCCUCUUUCUCUUUUUCUAGAAAUGAACUCAACUUUCUAGCGUCAAGACGGCCACUCCGGUGCCCGUCUGUCCGCUUUUUCUACUGCACUAACGCAUGUAUAUUUUACCUUUCAUUCUUUUUUCAUAAAUUAAAUUUUGUAUAGUUUGCAAUUCACAAAUAUAAGAACUAAAAACCUAAUGAGUAUAGAUUUAUUUAUCAGUUAUUUUUUAUAAUUUUUUUCAGGAUAAAUCAAGAAAAAGUAAACAAACAUUAAACAAAAAAUAUUAUUUAUCAGUUAUAUGCGUUAGCGCAGUAGAAAAAGUGGACAGACGGGUACGGGAGUGCCCGUCUGGACGCUAGUCUAUCUAUACCUAUUAUAAAGGAAAUACUAUUUUUUGGUGUAGCCUUUUUUUGUAAAUCCCAAAAUGCCCUUUUCAGUUAUAUUUUCUACACUAUUAACUUCUCAUCCCACACAAUCGAUUAGAUUUAAUGCCGGUUACUUACUUUCCAUUAACUUCUCACCUCACAGAAUUCUAAAUAACUGCUUCCCCAUUUCAAUUACAAAAACACAUGUUCCUACAUACAAUGAUACAAUCAUCAAUUCUACCAUUUUUUUCAUUUACAAUUUCUAUGUAUUGUUCCUAUCAACAAAAAAAAAAUCUCUAUCCAUUGUUAUCUUAUCUCUCCAUUAAUUCAUUUCAUUGUCAACCAUUUUUACUCAAAAAAAAAAAGGACAUUUCAUCAUGGAAUGAUGUUGUUAACUUACGGUAAAUGAUUCUUACUUCCUACAAUUGUAAUUGUAUGUACAUGACUUUAUUAUCUCUUUCUUUCCUGUCAAAUUUCCACCACUUUGGUACUCUUUUAUUUCUUCUCUGUAUACAUUCUUCUAUCUUUUUGGUUAUGAACCUUCUUACUUACAAUCGUUGUUAAUCUCUCUAUAGCUUUUUUUUUUUUUUUUAUUGUUGUUAAUCACUCUUUUUAUUUCCUUCCUUUUUACCUGUUAUUUAUUUACUAUGAAUUUUGUUUAUGGUAUGGGAGUUUAAUUUGUUUGUGAAUGAAGAUGCCUUAGUUUAGUUUUAUAAUAUAAUAUCGUACACUUCUUUUUUCCCUUUUGUUUUGAUUAAAAUUUCUCUUUUCAUUCCUUCUAAGAUCGUAUACUCUAACACCCUCAUAUCCAACCAGAUAUGCAUCUUCAAAGUUAAUUUGCAUUCUCUUUUGAAUUUUAAGAUGAUUAUAUUUAGAUCACAAGUAGACCUCACCUUCCAUUGAUGCUAUGAUAUUUAACUUUUACUCUAUAAUUUGAACACCUUUGGUUUGAAGGAGUAUAAAUAUCAGUGAUAAUAAAAUUUGGCCUAUUUUAUUGUUUUAAUCCUUGCUACUGCAAUAAGAAAAUAAUUUUUGCUUUAGACAUUUUAGUUAUGGACUUAAUGGAUUUUAGUGGUUGGGUUUAGUUUUUCAUUCAAAAUGGUACAUGAUUUGUGUUAAUUUUUUCCCUCUUAUAUUUUCUAUCUUCUUUUUGUUAAGUUUAUACAUUUUCCCAUUCAAAUUGAGUGUUGUUGGUUUUUUCUUCACAUUUCUAAUUGAGAUAUGAAUGAAGGCUAUUUCGGAUUCCUCAUAACUAAAAUGUCAGAGGAGCCACAUCAGCUUUACACCCAGCCUUGAUAUUCUAGAAUAAUGCAACAACCUUGAAAGUAAUAGAGUUAUAGUGCAAGUAAAACACAAAUUUAGUUGCACAAAACAAAUGAUGCAUGUCCUGUUAGUUAGAUUAUUUUAGACAUAGUUAAAGCACUUUGAAUCUACUUCAGCAUGAAGUUCCAUUAUUUUAAACAUAGUUAAAGCACAUUUGAAUCUACUUCUACAUGAAGUUUCAAUAUAUCACUUACAUUGAAGGUUUCAUGUUACCAUGUUUAUGUUUUAACAUAUGUGAAAUUUUGAAUUGAUAUAUUAAAUAUUGAUAUGAAUUGUUUUACAAACUUUGAUACAAAGAUGUUUGUUUACUGAUUUUAGUUAAAAUAUUUUCUUAAUUUGUUUCUACAAAUGGAUGCAAUGUUUUAAUAUGUGUUAAUUACUAUGACAUUAUAUUUGGGAUGCAUAUUUCAUGUCAUCCAUAUAUAUAUAUAUAUAUAUAUAUAUAUAUAUAUAUGUGGAUAUAAAAUUAUACAACGAAGAGUAAAUAUAUCGUAUACAUAUGUUAUUGCAAUACACAAACAAAAAAAGAGGAUAAAAGGGCAUCAAUAAAUUUCUAUUCACCAGAUUUUUAGUUCUUAUAUUUGUAAAUGACAAACUAUAUAUUAAUUUAUUUUUAGUCCAGCGUGCCCGUCAGGACGCUAGUAUUAAUAAAGGCAAUACAUGCUUUUGCUGUAGCCUAUUUUUAUUGCCUAAAAUACCCUUGACAAUUUUUAUUUUAACCUGCAACAUAUGGUAGUUGUCACAAGUCACAACUAUGCACACAACACGUACACACACAAAAAAAAAAAAAAAAAAAAACUGCUAAAAGUACAGUACAAUUUAAUUUAAAAAUAUUGUACAUAGCCAAUAAACUUCCGCAAUAUUGAUCAGAACUUCAGUUUGAGAGAAACCGCAAUAUUGAUCAGACCUCAAAUUAUCAAUGAAUGAGUUUUCAAUGUAUUCCUGAAGUUUUAUUGUUUGUUCUCGUAUUUGAUUACUAAUCUUGGAAAAUUAUUAUUGAUUUAUCAAAAAUCCUUGACAAUUCUAACUAUAAAACUGGUUACACCAUGAAAUGUUUGAAAUCAAUACAUUGCUUUAUUAAUUUAAGCUCGACUCAAGAUUUGCUAUUUUCAACUUUAUCUCAUAGCUUACUCUCACAUGAAUUCUCUUGCCUACAUUGCCUUUGAUAUUUCACAAAUAAGGACAAUCUUCGGAAAUAUUAAGACUACACGGCGACCAUUGCAUAUGAUUCACGUUGCCUGCCUAUGAUUCAUUCACAUGAACUCUUUUACCUUCCCGUGCUCCCUUAACAAGCGAGUAGUUGCACAUUGGGUUAAAGUGCAUGUGUUUCGAGGUUUUACCUUCUCCUGCUCCCUUAACAUGCGAGUAGUGGGACAUCGGGGUUUUGAAAGUGUUUGUGUUUCGAGGUUUUACCUUUCUCUGCUCCUUUAACAAGUGAGUAGUUGUACGUUGAGGUUUUUAAAGUGCCUUUAUUUUGAGGUCUUACCCUCACCUUCUCGCUUAACAAGAAAGUAGUUGGACAUUAGGGUUUUUAAAGUGCCUGGGUUUCGAGGACUUACCUUCACCUGCUCCCUUAACAAGUGAGUAGUUGGACGUUGAGGUUUUCAAAGUUCCUUUUUUUGUUGGGUAAUGUUAACCAAUGCCCCAGAGCACUGGUUAAGGAAAAAAAAUAUAGUAAUAUCACAUCGGAACUUGUGCAGUCAACUCAUUCAAAGUCUAAAAAGUAUUUUUUUUAAUUUAAAAUUUUCUUUUGAUUACCUUAAUCAGUGCCCCGGAGACACCGGUUAACAUGACCCUUCUUUAUUUUGAGGUCUUAGCUUCCUUUUCUCCCUUAACGAGAAAGUAGUUCGACAUUAGGAUUUUCAAAGUGCAUGUUAUUCGAGGUCUUACCUUCCCAUAAUCCCUUAAUUAAUAGGGGAGUAGCUGGACCAGGGGAAGAAGUAGAUAGAGGCUAUGUGAGGCUAAAGCCUCACAAGCCUUUUCCCUUUUUUUUUGUUGGUUAUAAUAGAAAUAACACAAAGUGUUUCAUGUUUGAGUCCCGCAAAGUCAUUGUAGUUUUUGAUGUGAAGAAAUUAUUGAGGUUGACUGACUUUUAUCCAAAUGAUUUUUUAGAAAUGUUGGAAGUGACGUUAGACCAUCAACUUAAGAAUUAUGUUACAAAUGUUCGAUAUGACCCAAAAUUUGCUAAGUUAAAUUGGCUUUCAGAUCUUUGUUCUAAACAUGUAGAAACAAAUAAGUGCAACACAUAAGUUAUGGUUUAUAAACUUUUGAAGUUGACUUUGCUCUUGACGGUAGCAACUGCAAGUGUUAAACGUGUUUUUUCACCUAUGAAAGUUGUGAAGAGUAACCUAUGUAACCAAAUAGAUGAUUAGUGACUAAAUGAAUGUAUUGUAACUUGUAUUGAAAGAUAUGAUUUUUAACAAUAAGAAAUGAUGUUAUUUUAGCUCAUUUUCAACAAAUGGAUAGGAGAAAAUUUUCAUUGUAAUGUAUUGUAUCAAACAAUGUUUGCAUUAUUGUUUCUUUGAAAUUUUAGCCCCCCAUAUACCAAAAGUCUGGAUCCGCCCCGGAGGUGGACAUCUAUAUAUAUAUAAAUCCUAACAAGUCUCAAAAUCCUAUUCCCUAACUCUAAUACUCAAUUAUCUAUUUUACCCUUAUUUUUACAACCUUUCCAUCAAGAAGCAUGUGCAAUGAGUAAAUAGACAAUUACCCUCUUGAAAUUGUAAGUUUCGUCAAUUACCCCCUUGAAAUUAACAAUACUUAAAUUACCCCUCUGAAAUUGCAGAACGUUAAUCAAUUUACCCCCUCCGUCAAAUUCUUCUGUUAGUCAACAUGACGUUUUGCAAAUACCCCCCUUAAGUUUUGUACUUACGUGCAAAAUGCCGCUCAAACUUAAUUUUUUAUUUUUUUUCUUAUACUUGACUCGAAUGAUGUUAAGGAAGCUUGAGAAAUGCAUUUAGAAUUCAAGGAAGAGCUUAAAGAGUUACUUGGUGAAGGAUACUAUGGUAAAGGAGGAUUACCAAAAGUGUUUUUUGAAAAGAAAUACAUUUGUGGAGUUAGGAAAUUCAGAGACUUUGUGAUGACAAGAAGUUUGAGAAAUUGCUCGAUUAUUGUGAAAGGAUUAACAACAUUGAAGGAGGUGAUGGUGGAUGUGAGGCUUGUGGUGAUAUAAAAUUUGUUCCUUGUGAAACAUGUUAUGGAAGUUGUAAAAUCUACUAUGGAGGUGAUUAUAAAGAAGAUGAUAAUUGUGAGGUUAGUGGGUGAGUGUGGAUUAGUUUUCAAAAAAUUUCUUAUCCUUUAUUCAUUGUUUUUACUUCUCACUAGAAUAGAACUUCCACUUCCCAUAUUAGUCACAAGUAUUGCCAGAAAAGCUCCAGUAGAUAUUCUCGCAAUCCAUUGUGACAACUGGACCAAUUUAUGUCUCAAGGUUUUUAGUGGAAGCUUUGUUUUUGUUUUUUUAUUUUUUUUAUUUUAAAUGUUUCUUGACUUACUUUCAUCUACGAGUGCGAGCUGUUAGUUUGGAAGGUCUUCGUGAAAUGGGUUAAAGUUUCUUCAACUUGAGAAGUUCUUUUGUUGUUGAUUGUGAAUAGGCCCUUGACUUUUAUUGCUCCAUUUGAGCAGGGCUGGCCUAAUAAUUUUUAAAAAUAAACGGGGUCUAAAGCAAGAUUGAAUGUAUGACACCUUUUUUAUUAGAUUGUGAGGCCUUUUUGCUUGUAAAAUCUAAUAAAAAAUAAUUUUUUGUUGGGAGAUCUAAAGCUAGUGCUUUGGUGGCCUUACCCUUAGACCGACCCUGCAUUUGAGGUUGGGGUGUUCCUUCCAUGCAUUGUUGUAUGUGUUAGAGAAGGUAUUUCCUUUCUUGAGCUGCCCAUGUAACUUACAUCUUAAGUCUCCUUCCAGGAGACACUCACAAUUUGCUUGAUUUAUGGGUAAAUGAAUUUUUUUCGUGAUUUAAUUUUUUCAAAUGUUUAGGAAAGACAUUGUGUUUCGAUGAAAUUUUUUCUUUAGUAUGAUGUAGGCGAGGAUCGGAUCCUAAGAUCAAAACGGUUUGUAAGGUUCGAGCAUUCAAAAAAUGAAUAGUUGGAUCAUAAACCCCUAUCCUCUGUACAACAAUGAAUGAGAGUUACAAUAUGAUAGGUUCGGAGGUUACGAACCGAGGGGGCAUUUUGGGGUUUCGAAGGGGUUUAUGAGCAAUUGAAGGGGCCUAAAGAGAAAUUUUCAUUAAGAUAUAUUGUUGAAUUUGGUUUGUUAGGCCCAAGUCUAAACUUUCUAACCCUAAAGUCAUGAUAUUCUUUUGUUCUUUAUAUUUUAUUGUUAUUUCUUGUUGAUAUUGUUUGAUUUUCUGUUUCUUGUUUUCUUGAGUAUUUUCAAAUUUUUAAGCAUAUUUAAAACAUAAAAUUUCAAUUGUGCUUCAAUUCAUUAGCAGCUUCAUAGGAAACUCAGUUUUCAAUUUGAAUUUAUUUAAUCUAUUUUACAUUUGAUUUCAUGAUGUAUACAUUGACCUAUAGAUAUUCUCGAUCUGAUAAGUUGAAGAAAGUAAUUAUAUGUUAUGUUUCUAGGCUAACCAAUUUCUCAUUCUUUCAGGGCUGAUAUUUAUAUCAUUGGAUGGAGAUGUAAGUGUCAUUGUGAACUUAGCUCAGUUGAUAGGGACAAUCUAUAAUAUAUGUAAGGUCCGGGUUCAAACCCCGGCCACCACCAAAAUAAAAAAAAAGAUGGAGAUGUAAGUGAACACAAAGUUGAAGAUGAUCUCACAAAAAUCAUCACUAUUCUCACAACGUGAAUCAAUAAAGGAUCAGGUAUGUCAUCAAUACCAAAUCCUCAAACCUUAUUUAUAUUAAUUUUUCGUUAUUCAAGAUAAUAUCACAAUUGCUUGACGAAUCCCUCUAAUUAGGGUUGGGAAUAGGCUAGGCCGGCCUACAGGGACCUAUGGCCUGGCCUAGUUAAGCCUGGCCUGCCCUGACCUGUUUAUUAAAAAGGCUAGGUUUAGGCUUUUUAAAAAGUCUAUUUAAGUAAAUAGGUCAGGCUUAGGCUAUAAACAAAGUCUAUGAAGCCUAAUAGGCCGGCCUGUUUAUGCAUGUUAGGCUUCAUAGUGGACUUUUUAAAUAGGCUUUAAAGCUUUAUAGUGAAAUAGGCUUUUAAGGCCUUAUAGUAGUGAUAGACAAAUCUUACACUGAAAUAGGCUUUGAGACCUAUUAAGCCUAUUUAAAAGUAGAUAAAAUGAAAUGUUUAGUGACUUUAAUAGUAAGUAGGCCUGUAAAUAGGUUUUCAGGCCUGGCCUAUUCCCAACCCUACCGCUAAGGAUCUUUGGUUCCCUUUGAAAUGUACAAAUUUUUAGAUUUGUUUGGAUCUCAUACCUGUGGUAAACCAAAGGAGAUAAAUUCAUCAGAUACAUAGGAUUCAAAGUCAUGAUGGUUGAGCACACGAGGAAGGUUUCAACAUCAAUUUCUAAAAACCAUUUAUUUUUUGGUUAGAUCUUAUGGAUUUCAAAGAAGGGAUUUUUUUUUUCAAAUUCAUUACAUUAUGGAAUGGUUACCACAAAAAAAAAUUCAUUGUAAAAGAUCUAUCUUUAAAAUUAUUAGUCUGAAAAUGAAUAUGAUUACGAGAUUGUGGUAACUUGUGUUGCUUUUUCUACCCAACACGGUGUUAAAUAUUUGGUGAUAGAUUUUAAUGAUCGCUUUAGUGGCUGAAAGCUAAUAAUAUCACAUUUAUGUAUUAUUAGAGUAUGAAUAAUCAACUAUGGUUAGUUGAUAGGUAAAUUAGAGUUAGUAGCUUCGUUAAGAGUUAUUUAGAGUUAGUUACACAACUAAACUCUAUAUAUAGGAACACUCGUGUAUCAUUUCAUUAUCUUUUAUCAAAUAUAUUGAUUAUCCUAUGAGUCUCUAUGGUUAUCUCCCACAUGAAUACUACUAUGCUCUCUCUCUAGCUGAUAUCUAUGAUCUUUAUCUUUCAGAUUCCUUGAUCCAUAACAUGGUAUCUGGAGCCUUUCUCUCUCAUCUUCAUGAAGAAAGUUUGUUACAAAGUUAGUAACAACAAAUUUUCUUCAUCUUCUUCAUUCCGCCAUUGAUUCUUCAUGCAACUUCAUUGAUUUUUCUUCAGAUUCUUCCGUUUAAACGUUGAAUCUUCUAUGUUUCUUCUUGAAUCAAUUUGUAUUUUCUCUCUCUUGAUUUCUUGCUCUGUUCUUCGCCAUGCCUCGCCAUAAUAAUCAAACCGAUACUGAUUCGAUGUUUUAUGUACAUCCAAGUGAGGGUCCAAAUUCAGUUCUUGUUACACCGCUCUUGGAUGGAUCCAAUUACCUCGCAUGGAGUCGCUCCAUGAUUCGAGCUUUUGGCGCGAAGAACAAAUUGAAGUUUGUUGAUGGUUCCAUGGAAGUUCUUGAUGAGGAUGAUUUGAAUCGAAGCGCUUGGGAACGAUGUAAUCAUCUUAUUCAAUCAUGGAUUAUUAACUCUGUUUCACCACAAAUUGCUCAAACAUUGGUUUUUUAUGAAACCGCCAUUGAAGCUUGGCUUGACCAUAAGGAACGUUUCUCCAAAGCUGAUAGAAUACACAUAGCUACUCUUCGAUCCACAAUUAACAAUUUGAAGCAAGGUUCUAAAUCUGUUCUAGAUUAUUUUACUGAGAUGCGUACUCUAUGGGAGGAAUUGAAUUCUCACUGACCUAUGCCACAUUGCACUUGUCCUCAUCCAUGUCGUUGUGCUGCUAUGAGGGAAGCAUGUAAUUUCAGACUUGAAGAUCAAGUAAUUCAAUUUCUUACUGGAUUAAAUGAUCAAUUUGUUGUUAUUAAAACUCAUGUUUUGAUGAUGGAUCCUCUUCCAUCAAUCAAUAAAGUAUACUCUUUAGUGAUUCAGGAAGAAAGCAAUAAUCAAUCUAUAACUUCUUCAUUAACUGAAUCAGUUUCCAUUGUUAAUGCUUUUGAUCCACGUAACAAGUCUCAAGGGAGGGGCAGAGGAAUUUCUGCUGGUCCGAAACCUCCUAGACUUUGUAACUUUUGUGGAAGAAGCAAUCAUACAGUUGAAUAUUGUUAUGCCAAACACGGAUAUCCUAAUUUUCAGAAGCAGGCACCUUCUGUUAAUGCUUCAAGUAGCACUGAAACAAUUGAAGCACCACCAGGAAAUAACAUUGAUGGAAUUUCAUCCAACACUGGUAUUUCACAAGAGAAAUAUGAUCAACUUGUUAGUUUGCUUCAACAAGUAAAUUUGCUUCCUUCAUCAUCUGCACCUUCCACUAGUGCAAAUAAUAUCAUCUUAACCCCUCUGUCAGGUAUAUCAUCCAUAUUCUCUUGUUCCAUUUCCUCUAAAUCUGAUAUUUGGCUUUUAGAUUCAGGAGCCAAUGAACACAUUGUUUCCUCCACACACUGGUUCACUUCUUAUCACAAAAUUUUGCCUAAACCUGUGAAUUUGCCUAAUGGUACCUCUGUGUUAGUUCAAUAUGCUGGCACAAUUCAUUUUUCACCAAAAUUCUAUCUUGACAAUGUCUUGUUUUCUCCCUUGUUCAAUUUAAAUUUGAUAUCUAUCUCAAAAGUUUGCGAGUCUCUGAAUUGCCAUGCCAAUUUUCAAAAUAAGAAAUGUUUCUUACAGGAUCUUCAUUCCCAGAAGAUGAUUGGUUUGGGUGAUCAAUUUGAAGGUCUUUAUAGAUUAGAUUUACAUUUUUUCAAUUGUCCAAAAUGCAAUAAUGUUUCUGUUAACAACAUUGUUCCUAGUAACAAUUCUACUAUUCCUUCUUCUACCUUGUCGCACUUCAGAUUAGGUCAUGUCUCUCAUAAGAGAAGAGAUUGUCCCAUAUGUCUCAACUUUAUCCUAGUCUCACUUUUGUUUCUCAUGCUACUUGUGAUAUAUGUCAUUUUGCCAAACAAAAGAUAUUACCUUUUCCUUCUAGUUUGUCUGUUGCCACUAGUAAAUUUCAGCUUUUGCAUUUUGAUAUUUGGGGUCCUCUAUCCACUGCUUAUGUACAUAAUCAUAGAUAUUUUCUCACCAUUCUUGAUGAUUACAGUAGAUUUGUUUGGAUUGUUCUUUUAAAAUCAAAAUCUGAAGUUUCUCAACAUGUUAAAAACUUCAUUUGUCUCAUUGAAACUCAAUUUCAUAUCACCCCCAAAACCAUAAGAGCUGAUAAUGGACCUGAAUUUUUACUACAUUCCUUUUAUGCUUCCAAGGGCAUUAUACAUCAUAGGUCAUGUGUUGAAACACCACAACAGAAUGGUAGAGUUGAAAGAAAACAUCAACACAUUCUUAAUGUAGGUAGAGCUCUCCUUUAUCAAUCCAAACUUCCCUCUUGUUAUUGGUCCUAUGCUCUCCUACAUGCAACUUUUAUCAUCAAUAGAGUCACUUCCCCUAACCUUCCCAAUAAAUCUUCUUAUCAGUUACUUCAUGAAAAAUUACCUAACCUUGAAUCAUUCAAAGUUUUUGGUUCAUUGUGUUAUUCUACCACUAUUCAAGCACAAAGAACAAAAUUAUCUCCAAGAGCCAGAAAAUCUAUCUUUUUAGGUUAUUCUGUUGGUUUUAAAGGUUGUGUUCUCUUAGAUUUACACUCUAGAGAAAUUCAUGUUUCUAGACAUGUCACAUAUCAUGAACAUAUUUUACCAUACCCUUCAAACCCCUCCUCCAUCACCACCACUUGGGACUAUUUUUCCUCUGAUACUUGCACUGCAAGUAACCCUCUUCCUGUUACUCCACCUCAACCUCCCACAUCCAUUAUUGAUCCUGAACCUUCAUAUACCGAACCUUCAAGUAAAAAAUAAAAAAGAAACGUAACCCAGAAACGUAAAUCACACAGAGGGUGAAGACAACUAAGCGUUCAAAAAUACCUGAUUGAAGAGCAAAGGAAGCGAGAAAGCUGGCAGUUCGCUCAUGAACGGGUUUUGAAGGGUUUCGUGAGUUUGAUGAAGGGCGAGAGAGGGCAAUGGAUGAACCCGUUUGAAUUACUAGAGCCACACACAUAUUCAUAUCUUCACUCGGAUCCGUAUCAAGAAUUUGUUGUUGAUUCUGUUGUGAUUCAGAAGAAGAAGAAGAAGAUUGGGUGGAUUGAAUCUGGAAAAAAGAGAGAAGAUGAGUUCUGGAUUUGUGGGUGUGUGGUGGAGACUGAAAGAGUUGCAGAUAAGUGAGUGGAUAUUAUUUUAUUUUAUUUACAUGUGAUUAAAUUUUGGGGAUUAAGUGUGAGACGAAAAAGAGAGAAAAUAUUGAGUUUUUUUAGUAAAUGAGGAGAGGAAAAAAUGUGAGGGGGAAGUUUUUUGUUGAUUUAACUACAAAGAGGAAAUAUAAUUUUAUAAUAUUAAAAAACAUUCAAAAAAAAUUAUAAAAUUAAAUUUUUAUCAUCAAAAGUGAUAGAGUCGGAUAAGCCCAUUCUAAAUCUAUUCUAAAAAGUCAUAUUUGGGUCUACUUACAUGUAGCCUCGGCUAGGCCGACUCUACAAUUUUCAAAAAAUAAAGAAAAAUUGUAAAUCGAAGUAGAGUGAGUUUAGCCGACUCUAUGUGGACACUAUUAGCGUCGGUGUCGGGGCCGACGCUAAAAUUGGAGUCUAAAAUGCUAUUUUCUUGUAGUGAACAUCUCCUACACCACCUCCUUCACCACCUGUUAUCAGAAAAUCAUCCAGAACCUCACAUCCACCAUCCCACUUCCAAGACUAUGUUUGUAGUCACGUUUCUUCUGAUUUGUCUGUCAAAUAUCCUAUCUCUGAUUCAGUGUCUUACAAUGCUUUGUGUAACGCCCUAGUCGUUAAUUUAAUUAUUUUGGAGUUAUUUAGAGUCUUUUAAAUGAUUUUAAAUAAUAUUUGUGAUUUAUGUGGUGUGUCAUAUUUUAUUAUAUAGUUUGUUUUUAUAAUAAUAAUAAUAAUAAUAAUAAUAAUAAUAAUAAUAAUAAUAAUAAUAAUAAGUGGGAAUUUUAUAUUAUUUUGGAGUUUGGGGAGUUAAAUAAGAUUUAAUAGAAUUAAGGGGAGUUUAAUGAAAUAAAGAGAAGUUACAUUUGGGGAGUUAAGAAUAGAAAGAGUCAGAGAAACGUUUUACGUGAAACAAGUUUUGGGAGAGAAAACCAAGAACAAGGGAGAAGAGUCAAGGAACCGAUUUUGCUGUGCAUUUCUUUCUGCAAAUCUAAGGUAAGGGUGAGGUUUGCUUCAGUAGUAUAGAUAUUGAAUUCUGAUUUUGAGUUUAACAGGUUUUGGUUGAAAUUGAGAAUUUUAGGUUUAUGUUGAAUUAGUGGGUUUUGAGAGUAGAGGUUGUGGUUCUGAUGUUAGAAUUAGGUUCUGGUUGCAUAUAACACUUAAUUUAGCAUCUGUAAACUAAUUUGGGGAGUGAAUUUGAGGAAAAUGAGAUUUUUGGGAAAAACCUGCAUUCUACCCGUACAGAAGUUCAUCGCUCGCCUCGCGAGUAGCCUGUGCUCGCCUUAGCGAGUGAGCAACUUCAUAGCUUGCCUCACGAGCAAGCCAACUCGCCAUGGCGAGUACCUGUGAGAAAAACUGGAUUUUCAUAUUGUUGUUAUAAGGUGUAAAUUUGAUAGUUUUAAGUGCCUAGAUGAUUUUAGAGAGGUCUGGGAUAAUUUUCAGAUUAAAAAGAUGAAUAGGGAACUUAAAAAUGAAGAUUUAGUGAGAAAAAUGUCAAAACUCCCGAGAGCACCUGUUUUGAGUUCACCACGACGAGCAGACUUUUCUUUGUGCUCGCCAUAGCGAGUAGAAGUACUCGCGAGGCGAGUUGCCCAGUAUUUGAGUUGUUUGUUUUGUUUUGAUGAAUGUUGAUGGAUAUUGAUGUCUAAGCAUGACUAUUAUAAAUGGUGUAUUUUUCUGGAUGAUUGGAUUAAUUAUAAUGAUUUGUUGUUGACUUGGAUGUAUGCUUCUAUUUAAUUACGUCAUACAUGAUGUUGCAUUAAGGAGUGGUGAGUCAUAUAGAUACAUAUGCAUUUGUUGGAGUUGUAUGUAGAUAUACACAAGUGGAGUCAGUUGCAUAAGCACAAAAGCGGGAGGGCUCUGGCCCUGGAACGCCUUGUCGUUCAAAGCGGUGGAACACUUUGUUGUUCAAAGCGGUGUUUAGCGGUGAUGACUUAUGUCCUAAAAUGAAUGCUUUAAACAUUCUAUUAGCGGUGACGGCUCCGGCCCUGAAUACGGUACCACAUGCAUUGUAGAGGAGUCUUAGUGGAGUUAUGGAGUGUUGCAUGAGUCGAAGUUGUUGGUUUUAAUUACCGUUUGUUUUUGAUGUUGAAAAUGAUGAUAUUUAUAUAUGUUGAUGAAUUAUUAUUAUGAUAGGGUGUUAGAUUCAAUUGAUGCAUUCAUUAUCUAUAUUUAUUGUUGUGAAUCUCACCCCUUCUGCUUGAAAAUGUUGUCCUUCCUAUGGGUAACUUGCAGGUGAUCCUGAGUAGUAGGUGGUGGCUCAAGUGUCUAGGGCUCUGAUACGUGGGAUGAGAUUUUAAUGCUUACUUUCAUUCCUAUGUAUCAAAUUUUAGAAUUUGCUGAUGUAGCCCUAUUGUUGUUUGAAUUUAUUUUGAUGAGGCUUUUAUUCCAAGACUGUUUAGUGGAGAGUCAAACCUUUGAUGUUGUUGUUUUUAAUGAAAAUAUUCCGCUGCAUAAUUAAUGAUGUUUUGAAGGAUGUUUAAUUAAAUAAUUUUUAUAUUCUAUUUAAGAAAUUUUGAAUAUGUAGUGUGACAUGCCCGUUUGGGAUUUACUCUGAUGAAUAUUUAAUUAUUAUUUAAUUGCUUUUGGGUAACGGGGUGUUACACUUUGUCUCCAUCUCAUUGUGCUUUUUCCUUGUCCAUUGAUUCUCAUAUUGAGCCAACCACAUAUGAUGAAGCAAGCAAACAUACUUGUUGGCAGCAGGCUAUGCAAACUGAGCUUACAGCUCUUGAAAAUACUGGUACUUGGAAACUGGUGGGUUUACCAGCUGAUAUUAAACCAAUAGGAUGUCGGUGGAUAUACAAAAUUAAAUAUCAUGCAAAUGGCACCAUUGAAAGAUAUAAGGCAAGACUGGUUGCUAAGGGUUACAAUCAGAUUGAAGGCCUUGAUUAUGCUGACACCUAUUCACCUGUUGUUAAGCUUACUACAGUGAUAACUGUUAUUGCUUCAGCUUCAAUCAACAAUUGGCAUAUUCAUCAGCUUGAUGUGAAUAAUGCAUUCCUUCAUGGUGACCUACAGGAAGAUGUCUACAUGAUUGUGCCUCAAGGUGUUAAAAACUCCAAACCAAAUCAGGUCUGCAAGCUCAUGAAAUCUCUUUAUGGUCUUAAACAGGUAAGAAGAAAGUGGUAUGAAAAACUCACUUAACUUCUUGUUCAUCAUCAGUAUACACAAUCCAAUUUUGAUCAUUCAUUGUUCAUCAAACAAACUACUACUUCAUUUACAGUGCUUUUAGUGUAUGUUGAUGAUGUGAUAAUUGCUGGUACUUCUCUGCAUGAAUUUCAACACAUCAAAAAUAUUUUGCAUUCCUCUUUCAAGAUUAAGGACUUGGGCCAAUUGAAAUAAUUCCUUGGUUUAGAGGUUGCUCACUCUUCUCAAGGCAUUUCACUUUUUUAGAGAAAGUAUUGUCUGGAUCUUCUCACUGAUUCAGGUCAUCUAGCAUCCAAACCAGUUUCAACUCCCUCUGAGCCAUCAUGUAAACUGCAUCAAGAUUCUAGUGCCCCUUACUCUGAUGUUCCUUCUUAUAGAAGAAUGAUUGGUAGGCUGAUCUAUCUCACCAAUACCAGACCAGAUAUUACUUUUGCCACUCAGCAGCUCAGCCAGUUCCUUUCUUCUCCCACUGAGAAGCACUUUCAAGCAGCCACUAGAGUGCUAAGAUACUUGAAAAAGUGUCCUGGUCAAGGUCUCUUCUUUCCUAGAGAUUCUUCUAUAAUGAUUUCAGGCUUCUCAGAUGUUGAUUGGGCAGGGUGCCUUGAUUCUAGAAGAUUAAUAUCUGGUCAAUGUUUUUAUCUUGGUAAAUCUUUAAUUUCAUGGAGAACCAAGAAACAAUUAAUUGUUUCUAGAUCUUCUUCUGAAGUAGAAUAUAGAGCUUUGGGUGCCGCAACUUGUGAACUUCAAUGGCUCCUCUAUCUUCUUAAGGAUCUACAUGUCUCUCUAAUCAAACCUCCUAUGCUCUAUUGUGACAAUCAAAGUGCCAUACACAUAGCUGCAAACCCUGUAUUUAAUGAAAGGACUAAGCAUUUGAAAAUUGACUAUCAUCUGGUCAGAGAAAAGAUGCAAGCAGGAAUCAUAAAGCUUCUGCCAGUUUCAAUAAGCUGGUUUUGGAGAGUCGCGUUAUACGUAAGUUGUUUUGAUUCGUACACGUUCUUUUGUAAUGUUCACAUCAUCGAUUUCAGAAAUGCUGUUUUUUGAAUAAGUGUGUUUGUGGAAGAUGUUUUGCUUUAGGAAGCGUAUUUGGUCCAGAAGCACGUUUCAGUAGUUGCAAUUCUAAUACUCCAAGGAAGAAAAGUUUGUUACAUGUUAGUAAACAUGAUAUCCAAGGAAGGAAUGAAAGAAAACUCAAAUAAUGUUUUGUAUUGAUGAUAAAAGUGAACAUUACAAAUGAUGAAGUUAUCCCACUAAUGGGGUUAUUACAAGUAUAUAUACUACUACAAACUAGUAUCUAACAUAUAUCUCUAAUAGUCCCCCUCAAGUUGGAAGGUGUUCAAAACACUUCCAACAUGAAAUGAGAAAAUACAGGGAAACACUCAUGUUAGUAGAGUUAGUUAGAGUUAGUUACACAACUAAACUCUAUAUAUAGGAACACUCAUGUAUCAUUUCAUUAUCUUUUAUCAAAUCUAUUGAUUCUCCUAUGAGUCUCUAUGGUUAUCUCCCACAUGAAUACUACUAUGCUCUCUCUCUAGUUGAUAUCUAUCAUUUUUAUCCUUGGGAUUCCUUGAUCCAUAACAUGGUAUCAGAGCGAUACCCUAGGGAUGAAGAUGCUGAUGCUUCCGCUUGCGAUUCAGCUUCCGAUGAAGAUGAAGAUUUCGGUGACGAUGAAGUUCUCACAACUUCAGCAAACGUUCUAUAAAAUUCAGCUUCCUUCGAUGGCAUUGUUUUCGGUAGUUUCGAGUCUCCAAUUGUUCCGGAUUCUACUCCUUCAAUCGAACCAAAAUUCGAUGAAUUCUCCGUCAAAAUUUGAUGAAGAUUUCGAUGGUAUUCGUUGAUUCUUGCAAGAACAUCGUCGAUUGUGACGAUUCUGUGUUCGUUGCUUCCGAAGAAGACAGUUACGUGAAGGUUUUUGAACCUGAAUUGAAGAUUCAUUACUCUGAUUUCAUUGUUUUUGAAGCGUCGAAAGAAUUCGUCAUUCAAACAGCUUCGGUGAGAUUGAGGAGCACUGUUUACGACGUCGCCGCCGUGAGGCUUUGCAUCUCGUGGUUGCUCACCGGAAAACAGGCUGAACAACUUGCUUGUGAUGUCAACAAUCAGGUUCAGUUUUUCCAGUUCCAUGAUGAGUUCAUUGUUGAUUUUGAUCCUGGUGGAAGAGUUUUCUUGUCUUCGAUGUUUUCUGCUUUUAUUGUUCUCCGAUACCAUUCCUUCCGUUUGUGGUGGAUACCUUGGGAUAGAGGAAGGAAAACGGUUAUUCACGGUGGCACAUUUUUGACACAGGUUUUGUUCUUUCUCAUACUCGACACAACAAGAUUUGAGUCUUUUGGCGUUCGUCUCCUUCUUCCUCUCUACAUCGUGAUUUAGCUCUCUGAUCUGCGAUUCCUUGUUUGCGGCUUCGUAUUGUUCUCUAAUACUCUGGUAUCGCAAAUUCGCGUUUCAAUCAUCUCAGAUUCAUCAUUCCAGUUUAAAGAAGCUUUACAUAAACACGUUUUGGAAAAGUGCUUUUUAGAAGAACACAUUUGGUAUGAGUUGAUUUGUUUCCGUUAAGACUUGCGUUUGGACAAUCACAGAGUCACAGAAGUGGGUUUCAUAAUUUCGUUUCUAGAAAAGCUGCUUUUUGGAAAAGUGCCUUUGGCAUAAGUUCUUUUUCAUUCAAAAGCACGUUUGCCAUUUUUUUUGAAGAGGAGAAUAGCUUCAGCAUCUUUUCUCAGUUGCGUUUAUGAGUUCUCAACAUCUGCUUUGGGCUUGGACUUCAUCUUCGGUCUAUUGAGCUUUACAUAUUUUUCUAUCAUUUUUUGUUUUGCUAGUAUACCCCCAUAUUACUUAGCUUACAAUAUAGUAAAUAAGCUGUAUUUUUCAUUGUAUUUCAAACUCAAAUUGGUGAAUUUCCCCAUUUUAAAUUUGAGGGGGACUAUUAGAGUAUGAAUAAUCAACUAUGAUUAGUUGAUAGGUAAACUACAGUUAGUAGCUUGGUUAAGAGUUAGUUACACAACUAAACUCUAUAUAUAGGAAAACUCAUGUAUCAUUAUUUCAUUGGGAUUCCUUGAUCCAUAACAUGUAUGGUUCUUAGAGAUGGUGGUCGGAUCCUUUGCUUUGUUUGCGUAUCAAUCGACCUUUGUUUCUGUAAUUAUUUUGAUUGACUGAUUAUUUCUUGGGGUGGUUUCUUUAGUACAGCUUGUGCUAAGCAGGUUUCAUUGCCUUUGUUAAUAUAUUACAUUUUUUAUCCUUAAAAAAAAAUGGCAAUUUCAGGUUUGAAUCUCUGCGACAAUUAACUGCCGAAGUUCCGCGAUAGUUCCGCGGCAGUUGAUUGCCGCCGUUUAAUUUCUGCGGCAGUUAACUGCCAAGGGGGUAUUUCGAUAUUUUUACUGGUGUUUUUCAGCCUUAUACUAUGUGUGAACAACAUUUUUCUUGUUUGUUAUACAUAGUGCUGGCCCAACACAUUUUGAGGCCUAAAACAGGCUAGGCAUAAUAUGAGAGAAAUUAAUAUAAAUUCAUAUCUAUUUCUUCAAAAGAAAAAAUAUAAACUCAUAUGUUUUAUAAAAAAAAAAAAUACAAUUAAAAAGAAAAAUAAAUAUGGCAUUAUAUAAGUGGAAGUGCUCUAAGUACGGUUCAUCCGACAGAAAAACAGUGCGUAUUGUAAAGCUCUAUUAGGAGGUGUUGAACCUAUGUUAUAAUCAUCAUAAAGCGUGUGUCUAUCAUCUUUAAUUUGUUUUAUGACAAAGUUGUAUAAUUAAUUUGUUAUGUAGCUUUUACUGUGAGACCUUCAUUCUUAGUCCGAAAUUCGAUGGCCUAUAGCGAGUGUUUGGGUCGCCUUACCCUUAAGCAAGCUGUGGUUAUAGAGAAGUAAAUAGUAGAGUCUACAUACUUUGAAUUUGAAUGUAUGAUUACUUAUUUGUAAAUUAGUCCAUUUGAAUCAUAUUUAUUUUUGUUGCGCCGUAUUAAUUUUGAAUGACAAUACAACCAACUAUGGGGCAUUCAAAGAAAUAAAUGUAAUGUGCAGUCGGCAAUUAAAAAAUGGAAAAAAACUCAGAACUAAACAUAUUUUUACUAUUUUCUGUCUCAACGAGACCCGCGAGACUAACGAGGAAGUGUGGUGAUUGGUUACUGCACCUCUCAUUUCUUCUUAUAUAUAUAUCCCAAUAAAAACUUGCCACUACAUCUAUCCUUAACUAAUUUAUCAAAACCUUCCCAUGGCUUCAAUUGUUAAUCAUGAGAAUGAGAACAAGAAUGUCAAGUCCCUUCAUGUUGUAAUGGUACCAUGGCUAGCUAUGGGACACAUACUACCUUUUUUCGAGUUAGCCAAAAUUCUUGCUCAAAAUGGUCACACUGUCACGUUCAUAAACUCCCCUAAAAACAUUGAUCAAAUGCCCAAAACACCCAAAACACUUCAACCAUUCAUCAAGUUGGUAAAAUCACCUUUACCAUACAUAGAAGAACUACAAGGUGCAGAAAGCACUCAAAAUGUUCCGUUAAACCUAACUGGUUACCUUAAGUUAGCUUAUGAUGGUUUCCAAGACCGUGUUACCGAGAUACUCAAAACUUCGAAGCCUGAUUGGGUUUUCUGUGAUGUAGUAUCGGAUUGGUUACC